rnacentral:rRNA from 1 species
UACGUAGGAUGCUAGCGUUGUCCGGAUUUACUGGGCGUAAAGCGCGCGCAGGCGGCACACCAAGUACGCAGUGAAAUCUCCCUGCUCAACGGGGAGGGUGCUGAGUAAACUGGUGAGCUAGAGGACGGUAGAGGGGGGUGGAAUUGCUGGUGUAGCGGUGAAAUGCGUAGAGAUCAGCAGGAACACCCGUGGCGAAGGCGGCCCCCUGGGCCGAACCUGACGCUGAGGAGCGAAAGCGUGGGGAGCGAACAGG